rnacentral:rRNA from 1 species
UACGGGGGGGGCAAGCGUUGUUCGGAAUUACUGGGCGUAAAGGGCUCGUAGGCGGCCAACUAAGUCAUACGUGAAAUCCCUCGGCUUAACCGGGGAACUGCGUCUGAUACUGGAUGGCUUGAGUGUGGGAGAGGGAUGCGGAAUUCCAGGUGUAGCGGUGAAAUGCGUAGAUAUCUGGAGGAACACCGGUGGCGAAGGCGGCAUCCUGGACCAUUACUGACACUGAAAAGCGAAAGCCAGGGGAGCAAACGGG